rnacentral:misc_RNA from 1 species
GGCAUAAUUGACGCGUUAACGUUUCAGGUGAUAUCGUGACAUGCCACGAGAAAACUGAGAUAAUCCAUUCAUAAAUAAAGAUCAUCUCAUUUUCGCAUGCAGCAAUUUUCAAACAACGAAUGGCUACCGCCAACUUUCAAAAUGACAAAAAGAGAAAAUGUCUACAAGUAAUCAAUAGUACAACGAUUUAUCGAAUGUUGCAAGCGAGAAAAGAACAGGUUAAAGGCAUCUUCGUUGUAAUGGAUGCUGGUUGUACGGAGAGACUUGGAUUUGACAGAGUAUAAAGUAUACAUAUUCGUAGAGCCAAAAGCACUGAAGGCUUUUGACCUUCAAAA